AUUUUUUGAUUAUAUAUAGCCCGAACACCAUCAUUGUCAAUGGCAGCGGUUGCCACAACUCUUGCAACAAUAACAACAACAACAACAUCUGCUACAAGUGCAGCUGCUGCUGAUUUGUCAUGUGAGGCUUUUAUAGCCAACAGGAGGAUUCACCCUGGAACCAUAUCCUACGGGGCCCAUAGGAUAUGGGUCUCAAAUGAUGGGGCAGAUCUCCCCUCUUUUUGUUAGGGGAGAAGAAGAAGAUAUGGGAGA